rnacentral:rRNA from 1 species
UACGUAGGGUCCGAGCGUUGUCCGGAAUUACUGGGCGUAAAGAGCUCGUAGGUGGUUUGUCGCGUUGUUCGUGAAAACUCACAGCUCAACUGUGGGCGUGCGGGCGAUACGGGCAGACUAGAGUACUGCAGGGGAUACUGGAAUUCCUGGUGUAGCGGUGGAAUGCGCAGAUAUCAGGAGGAACACCGGUGGCGAAGGCGGGUCUCUGGGCAGUAACUGACGCUGAGGAGCGAAAGCGUGGGGAGCGAACAGG